rnacentral:rRNA from 1 species
ACGGAAGGCAGCAGUGGGGAAUAUUGGUCAAUGGGCGGAAGCCUGAACCAGCCAAGUCGCGUGAAGGAAGACGGUUCUAUGGAUUGUAAACUUCUUUUGCAUGAGGGUAAAGUGACCUACGUGUAGGUUAUUGCAAGUAUCAUGUGAAUAAGCAUCGGCUAACUCCGUGCCAGCAGCCGCGGUAAUACGGAGGAUGCGAGCGUUAUCCGGAUUUAUUGGGUUUAAAGGGUGCGUAGGCGGGAUAUUAAGUCAGCGGUGAAAGUUUGCGGCUCAACCGUAAAAUUGCCGUUGAAACUGGUGUCCUUGAGUGUAAACGAGGUAGGCGGAAUGUAACGUGUAGCGGUGAAAUGCUUAGAUAUGUUACAGAACUCCGAUUGCGAAGGCGGCUUACCAGCAUACAACUGACGCUGAGGCACGAAAGCGUGGGUAUCAAACAGGAUUAGAUACCCUGGUA